rnacentral:misc_RNA from 1 species
AAGUCGUAACAAGGUUUCCGUAGGUGAACCUGCGGAAGGAUCAUUUGUGAAAAUUUUAAAGUUGUUUUCUUUUUUGAAGAGGGGGUAAAAUCCUUUUUUUGAGAGGAACCAAUUUAAAAAAAAAGAGAUUUCUUGUGGUUUAUAAAUGAUUUUUUUAAAAAAAUUGUUUGUUGUUGGAAUCUUUCUAAUGACAAACAAUUAAUAUUUUUAAAAAUCAAUUUUUUAUAAAAAAAACUAUUUUAAACAUGUAUUUAAAAAAUUAACAGUUUUAAAAAAAUAAAUUAAAAAUAAAUUAAAACUGUCAACGGUGGACCUCUUGGCUCGU